GGCUCCUCCAGGACAUUGUGGGAAGUGCUCAGUAUGCUUUGGGGCAUGAGUAGCACUCCCGGGGAGACAGUGAUUUGGGGCCAGAGGAAAGGUCCCCCCCUGAAAGCAAACGCCCUCUGAGCCCACAAGUCCGGGCUGCACUGGACAAGUAAGGAUGUUGAGGGUGAAGGCAGUGGCAGUUCUGCAGGCGGUCAGGAACCCCUCAGAGAGAAAGAACUUCUCACCUGAGGUCUCCUGCCUGAGCUUCUGGGCUAAGGAUGGAGCUGGAAGAGGAAACAUAUCGAAUCUCCUAAUGGACCUUAGUUACUUUUGAACCUUUUACUUGCAGGGAGCAGAGAUUGGAUCAAGUAACAGCAUCCAGGUUAUGGGAAGUCAUGCAGAGUUUGUCCCAGGAGAGAGGCAAGCGUUACCCUGGGAUCUGAAGUGUGCAACAGUCUGUUCAGUGUGGAUCAGAGAAUAGGAAACACCACAACGUGAGGGAAUGUUCAGGGCCUUCCUUGCCCAAUCCUGAGCUGUGCCAUGGCAGAGACUGGAGAAGAGGAGACAGUGUCAGCAGAAGCCUCAGGGUUCUCAGACUUGAGUGACUCAGAGUUCCUAGAAUUUCUGGACCUGGAAGAUGCUCAAGAGUCAACUGCUUCACUUAGGAAGCCUGGUCCUUCUGAUCUCCCUGGGAAGGAUGGCAAGCUCAUAAGUGUACAAAAUUGGAAAAGAGGUUUGGAUGUCUCAUCACCCAUGGAGAGAUUCCACCUUAAAUAUUUAUAUGUCACUGACCUGUCUAAUCAGAACUGGUGUGAAUUGCAAAUGGUAUAUGGGAAGGAGUUUCCUGGUGUCUUGACACCUGAGAAAGCAGCUGUUUUGAACACUGGUGCCAGCAUUCACCUAGCAAAAGAACUAGAACUUCAUGAUCUUGUGACUGUCCCUAUCACCACUAAAGAAGAUGCUUGGGCAAUUAAGUUUCUGAACAUACUAUCAAUGAUUCCUAUCCUGCAGUCAGAAGGGCGCAUCAGAGAGUUUCCAGUGUUUGGGGAAGUGGAGGGUGUGCUUCUUGUGGGAUUGAUUGAUGAGCUGCACUAUACAGCUAAGGGGGAAUUGGAACUGGCUGAGCUCAAGACACGCAGGCACCCUGUGCUCCCUGUGGAAGCUCAGAAAAGGAAAGACUAUUUUCAAGUCAGCCUAUACAAAUAUAUCUUUGAUGUGAUGGUACAAGGGAAAGUGGCCCCUGCCAGCCUAAUCCACCAUGCAAAAUUGUGUCCAGAAAAGCCACUGGGGCCUUCAGUGCUAAGGCAUGCCCAUCAGGGAGGAUUCUCUGUGAAGUCUUUAGGUGACCUCAUGGAACUGGUCUUCCUGUCUCUAACACUGUCUGACCUCCCAGUUAUUGAUAUCCUGAAGAUUGAGUAUAUCCACCAAGAGACGGGCACUGUGCUGGGUACAGAGAUUGUAGCCUUUGAUGAGAAGGAGGUGAGAGGCAAGGUACAGCAUCAUAUGGCCUACUGGAUGGGCCACCGAGAGCCUCAAGGGGUUGAUGUGGAGGAGGCUUGGAAGUGCGGGACAUGUAACUAUGCAGACAUCUGUGAGUGGAGGAAGGGCAAUGGAGCACUUGGCUCCACACUGGAGCCUCAAGUCAAAAAAGCCAAGUGAAUAGAAAGUAUGCUUUCGGGAACAUGGAUCCUUCCUGCUCCUGAUGUACCUGGGUAAAAGAGGAUCAGUCUCUGAGCUUGCCUUUCAUGAAGAGUGUUUUUAUUUUGGUUCUUUUUUAUAUUUCCACAACCUCUAACCAUAUUCAAAUCUAGGACCAAGGCUUAAGUAUGAGUUGGAAAGAUGUGGGGUUAUAUUGUCCCUCAAGCUUUGCCAUGGAUCUCCAAGAAGACAGAUGCACAUCAUGGCUGGAACAAAAGUAGCCUUCAGCAAACAUCGCUUUCCUAAGAAAAUUCUCCAGUUUCUGAUAAAUCUCUAUUUUUUCUCAGUCAAGGCUUUCUACAUAUUACAUAAUAAAAUAAAAUGAAAUGCUGUCCAGGACAGUU